GACCUUGACGAGUGGACUUCAUAGAUAGAGAUUACAGUAGAAAAGGACGUCAUCAAGAUUGGUACAAAUCUAAACUACAAUCCAACGUCACCGUAACCAUGGUUACUAUUCUGUAGACUGGUUCAACCUUCGUCACUAUUACAGUUAUUUUCUUUAAAGUCAGCACGACGUAGCAUGCUAUAUUUAGUUGCUAUGUUACUUCCACUCUAGCUACGUGGAUUUGCAUAAAUAUUACCAAAUAGUCAAACAGAUGUUCGUAGUUGUCUUUAGCACACACACCGAUAUCCAGAAACACAGUAUUUGAAAUGAAACAGACUUUCUGUACUAGCUUCGAAAGUGUAUUCCGACAAAUGUCAUUGUCUUUACUAUUCAGAUGUGUAUAUUAUGCUUGGAUCUGUAAUUAACAUCAUCUCUAUAUGUAGCCGCCAAUUUAAAGGACUAUGACAGUUGUCUGGUUUUGCGUUAUACGUUUCUUGAAUUGUAUUUUUUUACUAUACCUAAGUGUUCCAAAUAUAGCGUAGUUAGUGUGAAAUCACAUUUAGUUAAGGGGUGAUCCCAUUGGCAGCUGUUCUAGAACUCGACAGUUUGUUUACAAGACUAGUAAGCAAAUAACACCGAAUAAACGGCAAGGUAAA